rnacentral:lncRNA from 1 species
UUGCCGUUAUCAGAGUCAGUAAAGUCAGAUUACACAAACCUAGAUGAGGUUGCACCACUUGUUUGUUUGUAAAAUAUUAAAUAUUAAGUGAACUUGUCUACACUCAUAAGCAACAUGUUGUGUGCACAUGUAGUUAAAAGCACACCCCUCUUGUAGGAGGUCCACCUUUGGCAACAGAGAUGCUGAGAUGCUGUAUAAAGAUAUUUCAUACCCAGCAGAGUGGCUCCAGACAUUUUUAAUAUUUCUGUUUGUCUUCAAAUUCUCUUUCAUGCUGUUUCACUUUGAGGUACAGCCAACACUCAACACAUACGCCAUCAACCUCAUGUUCAUUUUUGCUUGAUUAAAAAUUUCCUCUCAGCCUUAAUCAUUUGGAAAUGACUAUUGACAAAUUAUUUUCUUCUCUGCCAGUGUUUAAAGUGGGAUCCAUAUCAAAUUGUAUGAACAGAUGUGACAUCCUGUUCUUCUUAGUCAUUGAUGGUGUUAAAUGUACAGAUGUGCGCGGAAGUUAAGCUUUCAAACUCCAAAAAUGGGGCUUUUACAAGGUUAGAAAAUGAUGAGUUUUAUGAUUGAGAGAAUAAAAUCUCAGAGUCCUCGAAUAUUCUUGUUUCAGGCUUUAAUGCAUAUGGGGACAUUAAAGCCUGACACAAGACACAAGUCUUUACCAUAAACCUGUUAAGGAGCAUAGGUGAAUACUGUGUGGGUGCACUACCUACAAAGACCACCCUCUCCAGCAUGCCUGCACCGACCCAGUGAAGCCACGAGUGUCUAUUCGAGACGCAGCACUUAGGUUUGAUUGAUAGACUGCUAUUGAUCUCUGCCUGAUUGAACUAUAAUGCAUCACACAAAAUUCAUCAGUGCUGCAACAACUAUCAGGCAGCACGGCUCAUCUGUCAUCCAGCCCCAUCAGGCCGCUCAGGCUGUGACACAGUGACUGCUAAGGAUGUAAUUGAGCCAGAAGGUGCAGCACACUACUUUUCUGGUAUAAUCACACAUCUGACUGAAACUCUAAAUGAUUGAACAUGCUACAACCAGUUCUAAAACAAGUCGUAAAUAACAUUGUGUGUUAUUGUGCCAACACAGUGCGAGUACAAAUCAUUAGUGGCGCAUUAAUAUCAAUGAUCAUGUUAAAUUUUGGUUGUGGCGCACGUAGUUUAGCAGUGGCAGUGCGCCGCUGCUGAAUGAAUGCAUUUGGAUUUUAUAGUUAAUUAACAAACCAUUUGUCCAACGCUGCAUGUAAAACCAAAUCUGUGUGUAAUAAAUUGAAGUCAGUCUGUUUUUUAAAGCACUAAUGUGGUUUGCAGAGCCCAAAUCCCAAAACUAUUUAGUUCAUCUUUAUACUAAUAGUUUUACCUUAAGGACUCACUCUGAUGAAAUUCAUGUUUUUCUUGUUGUCUACAUGUUCAUACGGCAUUUUUCUGAUGCUACAGGACAUAUCAUGAGGAAACUAAGAGCAAAAUUACAUUUCUGAGUAUUCCUGCAUUCAAAUUGCUGUAAAUCUCUGGCAGACCCAAUCAACAGGCUCAGAUACAGUGAGAUUUCCUACGUAGCAAAUCCAAGCUCUGCCCCCGGAGCCCCGCAAUGCAAGCCAGACUCAGAGAAAUAGAGAGAACAAUUGUGGAACAAGCAUGUGCGGUAGCGGAUAGCAGUGCUUAUAAGAAAUCUAAUUAUGACAUUAGCUUUCAUCAUGCCCCUAAAGACAUAAGUGUCUGAACCUGCCUUUCCUACUACACCAGCAAUGUUAGGCUGCAAGCUCACGUGGAGACAGUAGCGGUUCACGGGGGAGAGUCACGGGGGGACAGCUCUGCUCUGUGUACGCAUGUCAGCAUAUCAGCGGGAGCGCGGAUACGUCAUUUUGUAGUUUUUUAAUCAUUUCUGGAGUCGCGGUGAAUGAAAUCACUGUACCCGUCUGCCUUUGAUAGGCGAAUAAAGCGCUCGGGUUCAUGCUCGGAUCUUGCUACGUGCUUGAUGAGCUUCAUGAGUGAAGUAAACAAUGACUGAGGCAGAGAGCAGCUUCAGAGGAGAAACAUCCAGCAGUGUGAACAACCUCUUCAUAUGGAGUGCUUUGGCUCACACUAUCAGCGUUUUCUCUGAGUGUUGCAUGACUUUGGGUGAGAACAGAGAUGAACACACUGUCAGCCACGUAUUUAUUUAUUAAUUUUUUAGUUUUUAGUUCUGCUUUUGUACUGGCACUAUACUGGGGCAGCUGUAUACCCUUUCAACACCUUAUUUUCUAUAUUUACAUUUGUAUUGAAUGGGCACUUUAUCAUGACUGCCACUUGUUUUACAGAAAGCAAAUUAUUUGUCAUUCUCCAGUGCAGAGCCUUUACUUUUAUUCAUACAGCCGCUUUAUUUCAUUUGAGUUUGUUUGUUCAAGGUUUUCAAAAAUGUGAUGAAGGUUCGCAAAACCAAAAGAGAGCUUUCUUGAAAGCCACAUGUUUAAGCUCUCAAAUACUUUUUGAAUUUUGUUUCUAUCUACUACAGAGGCCGAGAUAGCAGCUUUUUUGUAAACCUCAACACUUCAGAAAACCUCAGGAUCUGGGGGCCCGUCUCAAAAUGGCCCUCAGGAUUGUGUUUUUUUCUAUUGAAGGAUUUCUGCAAUUGAGAAAUAUAUUAUUUUUGUUGUUAUAAUAAUAAUAAUACUACAUAGUAAUACAAAACUAUCUGUUCAAAAUUCUAUCUCUUUUUGUGUUUGGGUGCUCGCCCAGGAGUAAUUUGGUCUAGAACCGCCACUGCGUGGAGAAGUGUGCAGAGCAGCGCUGUCUCAGCCCAUGAAUCAGGGGUGAAUUGCUAAUGAGCUACUGGAGCUCUGCAGAAGAAAAGCCCUUGAAAAUGACACAGGUACCGUGAUUUUGGCUAAAAACUUUGCAAUCAUAAUUUAAAGACCACCUUAAGUAGUAAAACACAAAAAUGAUCAGAGUGGGACUUUAACUCAUUGAAUGCCAUUGCAUGACUUAAUUUUUGGCUUCGAUUUCCCUGUUUACCUCCAACCAGACUGAGACCAUCCUCCCAAAAUCUCAUAACCACUCAGCACAAGACCAGACAUGGCUCACCAAAUAAACAAAGAUAUAAGGCAAACUGAAAUAACCAGCACUCCUCAAUUUUUUUCUGUGUCAAUUUACAGUCUAUAGUUGCCCAACUCUGGAGACAGGAAGAUUGAAGAGCGGUCAUGUUAAUCAAUGUCCAGGGAUUUGCUGUUUAUCUUUAUUUUGAGCAUUUCAACUUUUAUGUGAGUCCUCUUCUACCGUCCAUGUCAACGACAUUGGCAGGAUGGCAGAAAAAUAGAUGGUGGAUAAGUUAGUGUUUAAUUGCUUCCUUGUGCUGAUUUGUGCUGAUAUCAGUAUAUUUUCACCCUGCUGAGCAGCAUUGCCCAUGCCCCCCCUUCCAAUAGUUGAUACAGGAUAGGUUGGAUAUCGAGAUACCACAGAUACACAUAUAUUACAAAUCACAUAAACGCAAUUAAAUGAAGUUCAUGUAUUAACUGGAGCAAGGCCACGCCUUCACCACACCUCCAAUCACCUGACUAACCUUCAUAUACACAUCCAUCCCACUACACUGUCUGUGAUUCUUUGAGGAACACAGACAGACCGUGCGCCGAGCCUUACCAUUCGCUCGCCUUAUAGAAACAUGUAAAAUCAGCCACUCACCAUGAAACUCCAGCUGCAUGACUCAGAUGAGGAUCUGUACAAAGAACUGUCCCAAGCCAAGUUAUCUUUUACCCAGAGAGCAGCAAUCAAACCACAGCCACGCGUCACAGUGGAGCCUCUCACGCUCCGUGCGCUCCCUAAAACAUCAUCCUGAUGGUUCCCAUCAGAUCCCCGGCCUAAUCCCCACCAAGAAGAUCUGUAGACCAAAGGAGCUACAAUCGCAGCAACCUAAUCUGCUCUCCACCACGCCGCACUUACCUUUCAGCCACCGGCAAUCUAACACACCGCAGCGUAGCCUCGCUGAGACGGCCAAUGCCGCACUCACGACCCGUGGAUGACAUCAGCAACAGACCGUCACCCGCCUCUGUCGAUCCCUGAAGACAAGAGGCAUCCCA